rnacentral:lncRNA from 1 species
GCGGACGGGCGGGGCCCUGGGCGCCCGGGCCGCCUCCCUGCUCUCUCCCGGCGUCUGGCCGCAGCGCCGGCUCCAGGUUUCCCCUCCCAGCGUGGGGUGGCAGCCUGGAGAGGCAUCUGCAGAAACCACGCGAGCCCCGGGGAGGAGAGCCCAUGGUGCACACAUAGGCGCGUGUCGGGGACCCCAAGCCCCUGGGCCCCGGGCACACUCGCAGAACCGCUGCAGGGACGUGGCCCAAGCUGGAAUUGCCCUGCGCACAGGCCAGGACCUUUGGGAGCAGCGACUGUCGAGAUAAGGUCAACGGCGGGCCCGCGGUGACUCAGCUCCCCUUGGCCCCGAGGAAGCUCGGCUGGCCCGGGGGGGCGGGGCCUGCGACGCUCCGCCCCCUGCUCCGGCUCCCGGAAGGCGCCCCACACCACCCCCAGCUUCCCAGAGGCGCCCAGAUUUCCCACGGGUUUUCCUGGUGGUGUCGUAACGAGCCCGGCCCUUUCGGAGCGUCCCAGGGCCCCGAGUCAGCUCCCUGUGACGGGACACAUGAGGAUCUGAGCGCCGCACGCUCCCUGACUGUGUGUGUGCGUGUGGUAAGGACAGGGCCAGACCCUCUGAGGCUUCCUCCCACCCCACUUCCUGUUUCAUCCAGAUGCCAACAUCCACGUGGACUAAUCUGCCGAGAUCAUUCCUGACCUCCAGCAUCACAAUUUCCAAACCUGUUCAGUGUUCCCCAGCUUCUCCUGCCUGACUCGCUGCAAGGUCAGAGAGCCUCUGACAUCUUAGCCUCCUACGUCACAUUAAAGGCCUCAGUGUCCCCUUUCUAGGUUCUGGGCCUCCCUCCACUCCUGCUCUUGAACCUUAACAAUGACUUUUUUUGUGUAUCGGACUGGGGAUUGAGUUACAGCCCAGCCCAUGUUUUAUUCUGAGACAGGGCCCUGCUAAAUUGCUAGUUCCAGGCUAGGCUGGAACUUGCUCUGAUCCUCCUGCUUCAGCCUCCCCAGUGUUCGGAUUACAGGCAUGCACCACCACGUCUGUCAUCAACAACCUUCUGUCCCGACUCAUUUGGAUCAUCUGGACAACCAACCACUUUCUCCAGCCCUAUGUUAGUUAAAGUCAUGCUAUUUGCUAAAACAAACACAUCCCAAACUGUGUAUCAGCUCAACCUAGUUCAUUUCCGGAUUGCAGAACGCUUCUGAGCAGGGAUGCCCGUCCUCCAGGUGAUGAUCCAGGAGCCGGGCUCCGCCAUCUCCAACGUGUGCUUUCCAGGGCUGUCAGGCCGGUGGCUUAGCAGCAGCAGAAAUUUAUUUCCCUUGGUUCAGGGGGCCAAAAGUCUGAGAUCAAGAUACCAACAUGCUCAGGCCCCGGGGGGCCCCUCCUCUGAGCUUCAGACUGCAAACUCCUCCUUGUGUCUCACUUAGGAAGAGACAAGCAGCUCGCUGGCUUCAUUCUACAGUGGGGGCUUGGGGAGGACACAAAAGUUCAGUCCAUAAAGGCGCAUCAGACUGGACGGAGGGGAAGGGCAGGGUGCAGAAGACACAGCUGCUGGUUCACUGCCCUGGCUGGGAGUGACAUCUCAUUCCUGGUCACCGUGCCAUCAGCAAGACAUCCGGGGCGUCCUGACUCCUCUGAAAGUCACAGGCCCAGCCCAUACUACAAGUCAGUCAACCUCCCUGAUGGAAUCCUUUGUCCUGGAGAAAGCUGGAGGUGGACAUAUCGGUGCAGAUGAAGAUUUAGGACCCUGAAGCCAGCGAGGCUCUGCAUUGCUGGACCUUGCGCUUGUGAGGCAGGCUUGGUGCCACUGAGCUGAAUCCCUGGCCCUUCCAAGACAUUUCUGAAGUCGGUUUCCUCUGCUCCUUUCCUGGGUUCCCACCUCAGCGCUUGCAGUCAUGGCAGCAGCGGCCGCCUCAAGUUCUUUAAGCCUCCAGUCCGUGGCUUCUCCAGCAGCAGCCACCGUGACUGUUCUGGAGUAAGGAUCUGAUCUCAGACCCUGUAAUCUAUAGGCAAAGCAUGGGCUCCCCUUUGAGGUUCCCAAGGCACCACUAACCGACCCCACUUCCCCUUCAGCCAGCCCCUCACUCAACGUUCCAGAAACACCCAGCUCUCUUCUGGAUGUGUCCACCGGACCUGGGCCCCACGAGGGGAACGCAGCUGGGCCUCCCAAGGUCCUUCUCCCCAGACCACCCUCUGCUCUCCUGGCUGUGCUGACCACCACCCUCGACAAAGCCUUUGCAUGCCUGCCUCCAGCACCAGGGGGCAGGAAGAGCUCACGGUGGAGCUCAGCGCCUGGUACAUGGCUUAGCAUCCAGUAGGUGCUCAAUGCAUGCUCCCUGAAUAGGUGAAGAGGGGGAGAAGGUACCCGUUUGAGAGAUGGAAAACCUUUAUUUGGAUCUGCUUGCCUUAUGCCAUCCUGCCUCGUGCUGAAUGAACAUUUCCUG